rnacentral:lncRNA from 15 species
CUUCUGAAGUCAGUGGUCCUUUUUUCUGCAAGGCUGAAAAUGAUCUUGGAGCUGGACGAUCCAACAUCAGUCAAAUAGACGUUCAGUAUUCACCCAAACACACCACAGUGUCAGUCAGUCCUUCUGGUCCAGUACCAGAAGACAGCACUGUGACUCUGACAUGCAGUAGUACUGCCAACCCAGGAGUAAGGAACUACACCUGGUACAGAGCUGGUGGAGGCCAGGAGACUUUUAUUGGGACCGGA